UUCUGCACUGCAGCAAACUGGAAGUGUGAGGAUAGGAAUCAUUGGAGCAGUGAAGAGAGUUGGUCGAAAUCUGUGUGAGGACCUGAAUUCUGGCAACAACUUUGUGAGGUGUAGUUUCACAUCGUCUCUGGAUAACAUCUGUCAGAAUGACACAAGCUCCAUGUUUGAAUGCUCCAUCUUAGACCUCAACUCAAGCAGGCCAGAUCCACAGACUGCGGUGGGAUCGUGCAGUGGUGGAAACAGUGCAGUCACAACAGCCAGCACAACAGUGAGCACAAAUAUCAGUUACACAACAGAGAACAAUGUGACUACGGCUGCCGACGAUUUCACAAUAGCCUUCCCCAGUGACAUAACAGAGAACAAUAUAACUACAGCCACCGACAAUUACACUACAGCCGCCAACAUAUCCAACUACACAG